CUACGUGCCAGCAGCCGCGGUAAUACGGAAGGUCCGGGCGUUAUCCGGAUUUAUUGGGUUUAAAGGGAGCGUAGGCCGGAGAUUAAGUGUGUUGUGAAAUGUAGACGCUCAACGUCUGACUUGCAGCGCAUACUGGUUUCCUUGAGUACGCACAACGUUGGCGGAAUUCGUCGUGUAGCGGUGAAAUGCUUAGAUAUGACGAAGAACUCCGAUUGCGAAGGCAGCUGACGGGAGCGCAACUGACGCUGAAGCUCGAGGGUGCGGGUAUCGAACAGGAUUAGAUACCCUGGUAGUCCGCACAGUAAACGAUGGACGCCCGUUGUUAGUUCACUUAUGAAUUAGCGACCAAGCGAAAGCAUUAAGCAUCCCACCUGGGGAGUACGCCGGCAACGGUGAAACUCAAAGGAAUUGACGGGGGCCCGCACAAGCGGAGGAACAUGUGGUUUAAUUCGAUGAUACGCGAGGAACCUUACCCGGGCUUGAA
rnacentral:rRNA from 1 species